GACGAACGCUGGCGGCGUGCUUAACACAUGCAAGUCGAGCGAUGAAGUUCCUUCGGGAACGGAUUAGCGGCGGACGGGUGAGUAACACGUGGGUAACCUGCCUCAUAGAGGGGAAUAGCCUUUCGAAAGGAAGAUUAAUACCGCAUAAGAUUGUAGUUUCGCAUGAAACAGCAAUUAAAGGAGUAAUCCGCUAUGAGAGGGACCCGCGGCGCAUUAGCUAGUUGGUGAGGUAACGGCUCACCAAGGCGACGAUGCGUAGCCGACCUGAGAGGGUGAUCGGCAUGAUUGGGACGGAGACACGGCCCAGACGCCUACGGGAGGCAGCAGUGGGGAAUAGUGCACAAUGGGGGAAACCCUGAUGCAGCAACGCCGCGUGAGUGAUGACGGUCUUCGGAUUGUAAAGCUCUGUCUUCAGGGACGAUAAUGACGGUACCUGAGGAGGAAGCCACGGCUAACUGCGUGCCAGCCGCCGCCGUAA
rnacentral:rRNA from 1 species